rnacentral:lncRNA from 7 species
CGUAUAAUGCAGCCUUGGGAGCACUGCGUCCUCAAGCCCCCGGAUUAAGAAAAUGAAAACGCAGAACACAAAGGGAAGAGAAGAGACUGACUGGCAGCUCCAUGAAGGAACGUGUAUUCGUGAAUCCACCAACGUGACGUGGUAUGUUUCAGUGCAUUUCAAGGCGUCACUUGCUUCCAGAGAUAAAUAUGAGCAAGGACACAAGAAAUAAAGGCAUUUUCUCCACCCAUAGAAAAAGAAGCCCCUGUCCAAGUCCUUGUAAGGAAUCCUUAUCUACGUAUGGAACAAAAUACCCCAAUUACCACUUGGAAAAACUAUCGUUUUGUGAGAGAACCAAGAACCUUAGUGCGGACAUCAGGGAGCUAGAGCAAGCUCAGCAGGAGCAAAUCCAAUUCACAGAUCUAUAGUGUGAUGAUAUGUUUUUAGACAAGAUUAAAGACUGGGGAAACCUGAUGCUUAAGGAAGGGAACUCAGGUCUAGAAGGUGUGACCAGGAAGAUGAUGUAGAAUCAGAAGAAGGAGCCAACACAGAUCGAUUCUAAAGAGCUAAAAAUAGUCGUGCAACAGUAUUUGGAAGAAAACAUAAACAAGUUUAAAAAGAAUGCGGAAGAUCAAAGCGAAGCAAAAGACAAAGUCAAAAAGGAGAGAAAUGAGGUUUGUUGUUGGCUUCCAGCCACACAGGAAGCUUUAUUCAUUGCUAUCAGAUGUCUUGAGGAUGUUGAGACUGAAGAAAGAAAAGCCUUUCAGAAGCACAUAGAAGAACUUUGAUGUUAUCUCCUUCAAAUAUAGCAUGAAGUAGAAUGAAGAACACGUAUAGGAGGACAGCAUUUGAAGAUGGACUAAAUAUUUCUCUCCUCAGUAUUCAUAAAGGCUGCCUCUCCGUCCAGUGAAUGGUGGGCAAAUCAGUAGUGUGCAAUGUGAAAUACUCCUUCACACAGAGGAAGAUAAAAAUAUCACUAAGAUAUCAGAACCAUGGGACACCACUGGUUCCCCUGCUAUCUCAAAAACAAAGAACCCACGCUAUGGCACACUUCCCAUGUCAUUUCUGCAAUGCCAGACUUCAUGGCAAAACCCUAUUGAUGGUUCCAGCCAUCAAAAAUAAGGUCCAUUCUGCAUCCUACUUGCAUUAUAGAAAGAAAGAAUCCAUCAUUUCAGGACAGAUUAAAAACAAAAGAAAAAAACCACCUGCAGUUGAAGGAAGAGGAAUGCAGCAGUCUUAGAGGAGAAAACUACAAACUUCAUGGCAAACUGAGGAGCACAGAACUGAAGGUACAGAACCUUUGAAUACCCUGUGUGAAUAGAUGUGCACCGAUACACCUUUGGAAAACAAGCUGGCAAUUCAGUUGUGCAUAUACAUAAGCACUGUGCUGUAUCUCUUAGAGUCAGUACACUUAUAGGUCAUGUGAGAGCUUUUUCCUCUGAUCUCCCAAUUGAGAAAUCUAAGAGAAAGGCAAUUCUUGAACAACCACCACUUACUGUAUUUCCACCUACAUUUGGUACAGUGUUUUCCUAACAGGAGAAGAGGUUGAAAUUCACAUGAGAACUAAAUCCUGUUAAAUAUCUCCUUACGUCAGACAGUCUAACAUUUCCUAAGGCAAGUAGGAUGAAGGCAGGGGAGUUGAUUAGUGCAAUCCCUUCCCAAUACAGCAGAUGCAUUUAUAUAUAUAUACAUAUAUAUAUAUAUAUAUAUAUGCACAUGCAUGUAUGUAAAUAUCUUAACUGUAUUAGAUCCAAUCAUUUUCCAAUUUUUUUUUUUUUUGGAGGUGGGAUCACAUGAGAAAAUGAUGAGCAAGUUGGCAUUAGACUAGAGUUAGUAGGCUCCAGGGAGGCUUUGUAGCAGCCUUCUUAGUGUUCUGUGAUUCUAUGAUAUUAAAGCAGCUUUACUGUCUAGCUAUUACUCAUCUGCAUUGCUGUAUAGAGGUGUGCUUGAGCACAUGUUAAAUGAGAGAGUUAGAGUUUGUUCCUCACAUAAUGGAAUUAAAAAUUAC